rnacentral:rRNA from 1 species
UGGAGCUUUAAUUUUGCUAUAUUAGCAAAGCAGUGUUGGCGUUUACUCCAAAACCCCGAUUCAUUGUGUGCAGGAGUGUUGAGUGCAAAAUAUUACCCCGAUAGAGAUAUAUUGAAAGCUGGUCCAAAGAAAUGAGCUUCGUUUAUUUGGCAAAGCAUUGUAACGGGAAUUCAAACCUUUAAGAGGGGUUGUAUCUGGCGUGUAGGCUCCGAUUCACACAUCAAUUUGUGGGAUGAUCCAUGGAUACCCUCAAGUGCAACCAGGAAGUUGAUCACACCCAGAGGUGCAUCAACGUUAACAAGAGUAGAGGAGAUAAUUGACCCCCAUACGGGUCACUGGGAUGAGGACCUCAUUCGGCAUGUAUUUUCACAUGUCGAUGUAUAUAGAAUACUGCAAAUUCCUCUUAAUGUGGAAGUAGUGGAAGACUUUGUAGCUUGGCACCAUAUAAGGUCGGGAACGUUUUCAGUGCGCUCGGGAUAUCACAUCGAAUUUGAGAACUAGUUUGGACGCCACUUUAACCGGAGCGGCCAAGGCAGUGCUAAUGAAAAUGGUGUAUGGAAAGAUCUAUGGAAGCUACGGCUACCGGGGAAAGUUAAACACUUUGGAUGGAAAGUUUUGAAGGGAGUUUUGCCUUGUUAUGGGGUGUUGGCCAGUCGGCAUAUACCUUUACUUCCACAAUGCCCGCUCUGUAAUAUCGGAAUGGAGGAUAUCCAGCAUUGCCUGUUUACUUACUCUCGAGCAUAUGCUAUCUGGAAAGAGCUGGGGUUAUCGACCGAGAUAGACAAGGUGGUCACUCAGGAUCGCUCUGGCUCGGUUAAUAUUGACUCCCUGUUCCAGGUACACUCGACGGUGAAUAACAUUCCUACACCCGAAUUCAUAUUGGUGGCCAUGUGGUUCAUCUGGUGGCAGAGGAGACUGUAUACAAAGGGGGAAACUGUCCUGUCGACAGAACAAGCGGUGAUGUCAAUCCAGGUUCUAGCUACUAAUUUUGUACGAGCGAAUACUCCAAACCAAGCUGUUCGGAAGAGUGACCAGGUAUGGAAGAAACCGGAAGUGGGAGUGGUAAAAAUAAAUGUUGAUGCAUCCUUUCUUGCGGAUAACCUCUCGGGUUCUUGUGGAGUCAUAACACACAAUGAUCAAGGACAGCUCUUAGGCAUAGGUUCUUAG